rnacentral:rRNA from 1 species
CGAGCACGCGCGUGUGGCAUAUCAAUAAGCGGAGGAAAAGAAACUAACAAGGAUUCCCUUAGUAACGGCGAGUGAAGCGGGAAGAGCUCAAAUUUGAAAUCUUCAAGGUUCUACCUUGACGAAUUGUAGUUUAAAGAAGUGUUUUCUGUUGGAGUUUUGGUAAAAGUUCCUUGGAAUAGGACAUCAUAGAGGGUGAGAAUCCCGUAUUUGACCAUUAUUUCCAACUAUGUGAUACACUUUCAAAGAGUCGGAUUGUUUGGGAAUGCAGUCCAAAAUGGGUGGUAAAUUUCAUCUAAAGCUAAAUACUGGCGAGAGACCGAUUGCGAACAAGUACCGUGAGGGAAAGAUGAAAAGAACUUUGAAAAGAGAGUUAAACAGUACGUGAAAUUGUCAAAAGGGAAGCGUUUGACACCAGUGUUGUUUUUCUGAAAAUCAAUUAAAGAACUGUUUAUGCUAAGUUGUUUAGACUUUAUCAGCUAACUGUUUAGUUUUGAGCUUUUCUUUAAUGCACUUUUCAGUUAACAAGUCAACAUCAAUUUCUUUUGCUGUAAAAAAGCUUGAGGAAGGUGGCUUGAGAUUCGUCUUAAGUGUUUAUAGCCUCUUGCCUAUGCAGUCGGAGAGAUUGAGGUCUGCAGCGUAGAUCCUUCGGGGCUAAAUGCAUUUGUGCUAAGUUAUAGCAUUUUAUAGACAACUUGUUGACUAUGAUUUAGUCUUGUAGCUUACUCGCUUAUGUUAUUUUACCUACGCUUAGGAUGUUGAAGUCAUCGUAUCGCGC